rnacentral:snoRNA from 12 species
AAGCUAGAGGCUAGACACCUUCGGUGGUGGGUAUAGGUUUUUGUCCCUGGUUGCUGGGUUUGUGUUGUGCGAUAUUAAAACAAAAGCCAUGAGACUUGUAAGCCCAGUGUGUAAAGAUACACUCUGAGUUAUAACUCAGAGGCACAGUU